CAAGUUUAAGCUGAGUUCUCUCUUGUUUCCUUUAUCGGGUCAAACCCUAACACGUUAUUUUUCCCUUCCCCCAUUUUCAUUCCUUUUCACGUCGCAUAUUCAUUUACGUAUCCGUAUAUAUACGCCCACACAAUUUCUGCACAGAUUCAUAUACGUACAACACACACAACCUUCCAACUGUGCUUUGGACAGAGAAAGCGAGAUAAAGAGAGAGAAAGAGAGAGAGAGAGGGAUGGUGCUGUGAAGAUCUAAAUUCUUCGCUUUCUCGGAGGUCUCUUUCAUUCUCGCUAAUUUCCAAACGGGAGUUUGGGUGGGAAAGCUAAGAAAAGAUCCUAGUUUGAGUACAUAAAUGUGAAAAUUUUUAUGGUACUUGAGGAGUAAAAGACUGAGGGAUUGUACAGAAAUAAAGGAAAAUGGCUCCUGCAAACAAGGCUGAGAAGAAGGCUGCAGUUGAUGCAGCUGCAUGGAUGUUCAAUGUUGUCACUUCUGUUGGAAUUAUAAUUGUUAAUAAGGCAUUAAUGGCUACAUAUGGCUUCAGCUUUGCUACAACAUUGACUGGUAUGCAUUUUGCUACAACCACCUUGAUGACGGCUGUUCUUAGAUGGCUUGGAUACAUCCAAAGUUCCCACCUACCCAUUGCAGACCUUCUGAAAUUUGUGCUAUUUGCAAACUUCUCUAUAGUUGGGAUGAAUGUUAGUUUGAUGUGGAAUUCAGUAGGCUUCUACCAGAUUGCAAAGUUGAGCAUGAUCCCUGUGUCCUGCUUGCUGGAAGUUGUAUUUGACAAGAUUCGAUAUUCAAGAGACACAAAGCUCAGCAUUUCUUUGGUACUAUUAGGUGUUGCUGUAUGCACAGUUACUGAUGUGAGUGUUAAUACCAAAGGGUUCAUUGCAGCCUUUAUUGCUGUAUGGAGUACUGCUCUGCAACAGUAUUAUGUUCAUUUCCUUCAAAGGAAAUAUUCUCUAAGUUCUUUCAAUCUGCUGGGACAUACUGCACCAGCUCAAGCUGGAACUUUGCUGAUAUUAGGCCCCUUUCUGGAUUAUUGGUUAACAACCAAGAGGAUUGACCAGUAUAAUUUUACCUUUCCGUCCAUGGUGUUCCUAAUCCUUUCGUGCACAAUUGCAAUAGGCACCAAUUUGAGUCAGUUUAUAUGCAUUGGCAGAUUCACUGCUGUCUCAUUCCAAGUGCUUGGGCAUAUGAAAACCGUCCUAGUUUUGAUACUGGGAUUUUUGUUUUUCGGGAAAGAGGGUCUCAAUUCACAAGUGGUGAUUGGCAUGAUCAUCGCAGUUUUGGGAAUGGUGUGGUAUGGCAAUGCCUCAUCUAAGCCUGGUGGGAAGGAGCGGCGUAGCAUUUCAAUGUCGAAGAACAGCCAACAAAAGCAUUCAGAAUCUUCUGAUCCCGAUGAUAAGGUUUAAGAAUUUGUAGCUGAGAACAAUACAUCUUAUACCAGGACAUUUUAGUUGUCUGACUCUAGUUGAUGGUCGCUUUCUCCAGGCUAUUGAAGAAGGCAACCAAUUAGUCGCCUUCGCCUUAUCUAGCUAGAGAAGGCUACUAGUUGGUCGGCUUCUCCAGGCGACCCACCAAAGAAGGCAACCAGUGAUCAUUCUUCAAUCGUCAAAUUUUUUUCUCGUUAUUAUUAAUGAUGGCGGUUAACGGUAAAUGGCGGUGUGUUUGACCUUUUCUUUUUACUAUUUGAAAUGUUAAACAUUAGUUGGUAUUGCAACUUUAGAAUCUCACAUUGCUGGGGAAUGUAUUACCAUAUGUGACUGAAAAUAAAUUAUAAAAUUUAACUA